UACGUAGGGUGCGAGCGUUGUCCGGAAUUACUGGGCGUAAAGAGCUCGUAGGUGGUUUGUCGCGUUGUUCGUGAAAACCUGAGGCUUAACCUUGGGCGUGCGGGCGAUACGGGCAGACUGGAGUACUGCAGGGGAGACUGGAAUUCCUGGUGUAGCGGUGAAAUGCGCAGAUAUCAGGAGGAACACCGGUGGCGAAGGCGGGUCUCUGGGCCGAUACUGACGCUGAGGAGCGAAAGCGUGGGGAGCGAACAGG
rnacentral:rRNA from 1 species